rnacentral:tRNA from 1 species
CGUCUGAUAGCUCAGUGGUCUAGAGCAGUCGCCCGGCAAGCGAAAGACCCGGGUUCGAUUCCCGGUCUAGCGA